rnacentral:rRNA from 1 species
CGAAAGCCUGACGGAGCAAUACCGCGUGAGGGAGGAAGGCUCUUGGGUCGUAAACCUCAAAACUUAGGGAAGAAGAAAGUGACGGUACCUAAUAUAAGCAUCGGCUAACUCCGUGCCAGCAGCCGCGGUAAUACGGAGGAUGCGAGCGUUAUCCGGAAUCAUUGGGCGUAAAGAGUCUGUAGGUGGCACUUCAAGUCUGCUGUCAAAGACCGAAGCUUAACUUCGGGCAGGCAGUGGAAACUGGUGAACUAGAGUACGGUAGGGGUAGAGGGAAUUUCCAGUGUAGCGGUGAAAUGCGUAGAGAUUGGAAAGAACACCAGUGGCGAAGGCGCUCUACUGGACCUGUACUGACACUGAGGGACGAAAGCUAGGGGAGCG